rnacentral:tRNA from 1 species
GGGGUUGUGGCUCAAGUGGUAGUGCGCUCGCCUGGCAUGCGUGAGGCACUGAUUUCGAUUCUCAGCACCACG